CAUGCAAGUCGAACGAGAUCUUCGGAUCUAGUGGCGCUCGGGUGCGUAACGCGUGGGAAUCUGCCCUUGGGUUCGGAAUAACUUCGGGAAACGGAUUCUAAUACCGGAUGAUGACUUCAGUCCAAAGAUUUAUCGCCGGUGGAUGAGCCCGCGUACGAUUACCUAUUGGUGAGGUAAAGGCUCACCCCCGCUACGAUCCUUAGCUGGUCUGAGAGGAUGAUCAGCCACACUGGGACUGAGACACGGCCCAGACUCCUACGGGAGGCAGCAGUGGGGAAUAUUGGAC
rnacentral:rRNA from 1 species